rnacentral:rRNA from 1 species
CCUACGGGAGGCUGCAGUGGGGAAUAUUGCACAAUGGGCGCAAGCCUGAUGCAGCCAUGCCGCGUGUGUGAAGAAGGCCUUCGGGUUGUAAAGCACUUUCAGCGGGGAGGAAGGCGUUAAGGUUAAUAACCUUGUCGAUUGACGUUACCCGCAGAAGAAGCACCGGCUAACUCCGUGCCAGCAGCCGCGGCAAUACGGAGGGUGCAAGCGUUAGUCGGAAUUACUGGGCGUAAAGCGCACGCAGGCGGUCUGUCAAGUCGGAUGUGAAAUCCCCGGGCUCAACCUGGGAACUGCAUUCGAAACUGGCAGGCUAGAGUCUUGUAGAGGGGGGUAGAAUUCCAGGUGUAGCGGUGAAAUGCGUAGAGAUCUGGAGGAAUACCGGUGGCGAAGGCGGCCCCCUGGACAAAGACUGACGCUCAGGUGCGAAAGCGUGGGGAGCAAACAGGAUUAGAUACCCGAGUAGUC